rnacentral:rRNA from 1 species
GUCGAGCGGAAACGAGUUAUCUGAACCUUCGGGGAACGAUAACGGCGUCGAGCGGCGGACGGGUGAGUAAUGCCUAGGAAAUUGCCUUGAUGUGGGGGAUAACCAUUGGAAACGAUGGCUAAUACCGCAUAACGCCUACGGGCCAAAGAGGGGGACCUUCGGGCCUCUCGCGUCAAGAUAUGCCUAGGUGGGAUUAGCUAGUUGGUGAGGUAAUGGCUCACCAAGGCGACGAUCCCUAGCUGGUCUGAGAGGAUGAUCAGCCACACUGGAACUGAGACACGGUCCAGACUCCUACGGGAGGCAGCAGUGGGGAAUAUUGCACAAUGGGCGCAAGCCUGAUGCAGCCAUGCCGCGUGUAUGAAGAAGGCCUUCGGGUUGUAAAGUACUUUCAGUCGUGAGGAAGGUUCAUGCGUUAAUAGCGUAUGGAUUUGACGUUAGCGACAGAAGAAGCACCGGCUAACUCCGUGCCAGCAGCCGCGGUAAUACGGAGGGUGCGAGCGUUAAUCGGAAUUACUGGGCGUAAAGCGCAUGCAGGUGGUUUGUUAAGUCAGAUGUGAAAGCCCGGGGCUCAACCUCGGAACUGCAUUUGAAACUGGCAAACUAGAGUACUGUAGAGGGGGGUAGAAUUUCAGGUGUAGCGGUGAAAUGCGUAGAGAUCUGAAGGAAUACCAGUGGCGAAGGCGGCCCCCUGGACAGAUACUGACACUCAGAUGCGAAAGCGUGGGGAGCAAACAGGAUUAGAUACCCUGGUAGUCCACGCCGUAAACGAUGUCUACUUGGAGGUUGUGGCCUUGAGCCGUGGCUUUCGGAGCUAACGCGUUAAGUAGACCGCCUGGGGAGUACGGUCGCAAGAUUAAAACUCAAAUGAAUUGACGGGGGCCCGCACAAGCGGUGGAGCAUGUGGUUUAAUUCGAUGCAACGCGAAGAACCUUACCUACUCUUGACAUCCAGAGAACUUAGCAGAGAUGCUUUGGUGCCUUCGGGAACUCUGAGACAGGUGCUGCAUGGCUGUC